AACGAACGCUGGCGGCAGGCCUAACACAUGCAAGUCGAACGCUCGUAGCAAUACGAGAGUGGCAGACGGGUGAGUAACACGUGGGAACCUUCCCUAUGGUUCGGAAUAGCUCAGGGAAACUUGGGGUAAUACCGGAUAAGCCCUUCGGGGAAAGAUUUAUCGCCAUUGGAUGGGCCCGCGUCGGAUUAGCUAGUUGGUGGGGUAACGGCCUACCAAGGCGACGAUCCGUAGCUGGUCUGAGAGGAUGAUCAGCCACACUGGGACUGAGACACGGCCCAGACUCCUACGGGAGGCAGCAGUGGGGAAUAUUGGACAAUGGGCGCAAGCCUGAUCCAGCCAUGCCGCGUGAGUGACGAAGGUCUUCGGAUUGUAAAACUC
rnacentral:rRNA from 1 species